rnacentral:rRNA from 1 species
CCUACGGGUGGCAGCAGUGAGGAAUAUUGGUCAAUGGGCGGGAGCCUGAACCAGCCAAGCCGCGUGAGGGAAGAAGGUACAGCGGAUCGUAAACCUCUUUUGUCAGGGAACAAAGGCGGGGACGAGUCCCCGGAUGAGGGUACCUGAAGAAAAAGCAUCGGCUAACUCCGUGCCAGCAGCCGCGGUAAUACGGAGGAGGCGAGCGUUAUCCGGAGUUCUUGGGUUUAAAGGGUGCGCAGGCGGCCUGUUAAGUCAGCGGUAAAAGCCCGGGGCUCAACCCCGGCGCGCCGUUGAAACUGGCGGCCUGGAGUUUGAGUGAACUACGCGGACUGCGCGUUGUAGCGGU